rnacentral:rRNA from 1 species
UACGUAGGCAGCGAGCGUUGUUCGGAGUUACUGGGCGUAAAGCGUGCGCAGGCGGUUCUCCAAGUCCGUUGUGAAAGCCCCGGGCUCAACCUGGGAAUGGCAGUGGAAACUAGGGGACUGGAAUCUGGCAGAGGGGGUGGAAUGCCGCGGUGUAGCAGUGAAAUGCGUAGAGAUGCGGCGGAACACCGAUGGCGAAGGCAGCCCCCUGGGCUGAGAUUGACGCGCUCAGGCACGAAAGCGUGGGUAGCAAACAGG